CCCUCUCUCUUCCUUGCUCGAUCUCUCUUCCCACGGUCUCUCUCUCUCUCUAUCCCCACCCAAGAUCCUGUUGCCGACUGCCCUACCCACGCACGCCCUCUCGCUCUCUCUGAAUCUGUGGUUAAAGGCUUAAAUCUCCAGGAACAUUGAGGAAAUUUAUGAAAUGCCUCAAGUUCCACCUGUCCCAGUAGUUGGAUCUAAAGGUAAUGAUACCCAUCAACAUCUGGUCUCUACAGUACUAUAGUUCAAAUCCCUUCAAGCCCCUCAACUUCUGUGGCUGCAACUCUAAACAAGCCACAGUUGAGAUGGACGCCUGAGCUCCAUGAGCAGUUUGUGGAAGCUGUUAACAAGCUUGAUGGGGCUGAGAAGGCAACUCCGAAGGGUAUAUUGAAGGUAAUGAAUGUUCAGGGUUUGACAAUCUAUCAUGUAAAAAGCCACCUAUAGAAAUACCGACUUGCCAAGUAUCUUCCGGAGGCAAAGGAAGAGAAAAAGUCUUCAUCUGAAGACAUGAAGGGAGCUUCUGUUGGUACUAAAUCCGAUCCACGCAUCCAAAGAACUAAGCACAUGCUACAUAAGUUGGAAAAGUCCCAAACUGAGUUGUGGGUGAGAUUGGUUUCUUACAAACCCAAUGUUAAUUCGGUACAUUGCAGAUAACAAUCUUGAGAACAACCCAUGGCAUGGAUUUGAUGAGUGGUCACUCGAGAUAAAAACCAAUGCGCCUGAAUGAAGUUCUGAAAAUGAUGAAGUGAACAAGCUUAUCAGUUUAACACUAGGUGGAAGGGAGAGAGAUAUAAUACGCCUUUACUAUGGCCUGGAUAAAGAAUCCCAUACAUGGGAAGACAUUAGUAGACAGUAAGUAGCUGAAGUUUUUUGGUGACCUCACCAAGGAUGUAGAGCUAAGGGCAUGUUCUUAACCAUUGGUUAAGAGUGAGAGGCUACUGGGGCUAUUGAUGUCUAUUGGUUGAAAUUUAAGUUUGUUCAGGUAAGCAUGAUUUUCGAGCAUGGAUUUUCUCAGACUAGUCUAUUUCUAUGAUAAGAGUACUUAUCUAUACAUAAAUGUGGCAAUGCUUAUUAGUUAGAAUGGGUUUUAUAUGUGGCCAUGGGUAUUUGCAUAAUCUACUUGAUGUGGGCAUUUCAUUAGCAUGGUUAAAAAGUGAGCUUUAAACGGGGACUACGUUGGAUGUGUAUUUGGCAUGGUCACUUUUAUGUGUUUUUUUUUUUCUUUUUACUUGUAUUUAUUGUAUGGUUUAUGUGUAUUUGGAUGGUAUCCUCAUUGUUGCAUGUUUGCUCUGGUAAUUGGAAUGCUGAAGUUAAAAGAACUAGCAGAGGCUUCUAUUGUGGUUCUCAGAUGUCGAAGAGCAUUAAAGCAUGCCUGCCCUAUCGCCGACUAGUCUCAUCUUCUGUUUUAUGGUUGUGAUUUACCAAGGAAAUGUUGCAGCUACUUUCAGUCCCAACUGAUGUACGAUUUUUCCUGACAUUCAUGUGCAUUUAUAGUCUAAAAACAUUAAAUAGACCGUUAACUAUUUUAUUGGUAUUGUGCUGAUUAUUGUCGUGAUGAAUGUUAAAUGGGUGAAACAUGCAUGCACUUGUUUAAUCAUUGAUUGAUUAUGAUUGUGUGAAUUAUUUUUUGAAUGACUAUCAGGUGUAAGAUUCAAAAAAAAAAAAAAAAA